AUUGAACGCUGGCGGCAGGCCUAACACAUGCAAGUCGAACGAGUGGCGGACGGGUGAGUAAUGUCUGAGAAACUGCCCGAUGGAGGGGGAUAACUACUGGAAACGGUAGAUACUACCGCAUACCAUCGGAUGUGCCCCGAUGGGAGUAGCUAGUAGGUGGGGUAACGGCUCACAUAGGCGACGAUCCCUAGCUGGUCUGAGAGGAUGACCAGCCACACUGGGACUGAGACACGGGCCAGACUCCUACGGGAGGCAGCAGUGGGGAAUAUUGGACAAUGGGCGCAAGCCUGAUGGAGCCAUGCCGCGUGUAUGAAGAAGGCCUUCGGGUUGUAAAGUACUUUCAGCGAGGAGGCGUUACGCGCAGAAGAAGCACCGGCUAACUCCGUGCCAGCAGCCGCGGUAAUAC
rnacentral:rRNA from 1 species